rnacentral:rRNA from 1 species
AUUGAACGCUAGCGGAAUGCUUUACACAUGCAAGUCGAACGGCAGCAUAGGUGCUUGCACCUGAUGGCGAGUGGCGAACGGGUGAGUAAUAUAUCGGAACGUGCCCAGUCGUGGGGGAUAACGUAGUGAAAAUUACGCUAAUACCGCAUACGAUCUAAGGAUGAAAGCGGGGGAUCGCAAGACCUCGCGCGAUUGGAGCGGCCGAUAUCAGAUUAGGUAGUUGGUGAGGUAAAGGCUCACCAAGCCAACGAUCUGUAGCUGGUCUGAGAGGACGACCAGCCACACUGGGACUGAGACACGGCCCAGACUCCUACGGGAGGCAGCAGUGGGGAAUUUUGGACAAUGGACGCAAGUCUGAUCCAGCCAUUCCGCGUGCAGGACGAAGGCCUUCGGGUUGUAAACUGCUUUUGUACGGAACGAAAAGGUCUCUAUUAAUACUAGGGGCUCAUGACGGUACCGUAAGAAUAAGCACCGGCUAACUACGUGCCAGCAGCCGCCGUAA